rnacentral:rRNA from 1 species
CAACGCCGCGUGGAGGAUGAAGCCCCUUGGGGUGUAAACUCCUUUCGAUCGGGAAGAUAAUGACGGUACCGAUAUAAGAAGCCCCGGCUAACUUCGUGC